rnacentral:rRNA from 1 species
CGGACGGGUGAGUAAUGUCUGGGAAACUGCCUGAUGGAGGGGGAUAACUACUGGAAACGGUAGCUAAUACCGCAUAACGUCGCAAGACCAAAGAGGGGGACCUUAGGGCCUCUUGCCAUCGGAUGUGCCCAGAUGGGAUUAGCUAGUAGGUGGGGUAACGGCUCACCUAGGCGACGAUCCCUAGCUGGUCUGAGGGGAUGACCAGCCACACUGGAACUGAGACACGGUCCAG